rnacentral:rRNA from 1 species
GACGAAGGUGGCGAGCGUUGUUCGGAAUCACUGGGCAUAAAGCGCACGUAGGCGGCGGCGUAAGUUGGAUGUGAAAUCCCCCGGCCUAACCGGGGAACUGCGUCCAGUACUGCGUUGCUUGAGGAUCCAAGGGGUGCAUGGAAUUCUCGGUGGAGCGGUGAAAUGCGUUGAUAUCGGGAGGAACUCCGGCGGCGAAAGCGGUGCACUGGUGGAUUACUGACGCUGAGGUGCGAAAGCCAGGGGAGCAAACGGG